UACGGAGGGCGCGAGCGUUAAUCGGAAUUACUGGGCGUAAAGCGCGCGUAGGCUGUUGUGUAAGUUGGGGGUGAAAUCCCACGGCUCAACCGUGGAACAACCCUUGAUACUGCGCGACUUGAAUCCGGGAGAGGGUGGCGGAAUUCCAGGUGUAGGAGUGAAAUCCGUAGAUAUCUGGAGGAACAUCAGUGGCGAAGGCGGCCACCUGGACCGGUAUUGACGCUGAGGCGCGAAAGCGUGGGGAGCAAACAGG
rnacentral:rRNA from 1 species